ACAAAGGCUAUGAUAAGAAAGAGUAGCAAUCAUGUAAACAGACAGAAAGUUACCGGUUGAUGAGAGGUGCAUGUUGAACGAUUGUGAAUACAUCUUGGAGCUGUGUACCGAACAGGAUUUCCUUAGUAGGCUACACCGGGGAAGCACCCGUAAUCAGUGCUAAAGUAUUGUCAAUGGACUGUACUUACUAAGAUAAGCUGCGUGAGUUGCUUAUGAAUUAAAGGUGGUAACACGAGAUAAAUCGUCCUUUUG
rnacentral:ncRNA from 1 species